GACGAACCGAGCGGACGUUGUUCGGAAUUACUGGGCUUAAAGCGCACGUAGGCGGCAUCGUAAGUGUCGGGUGAAAUCCCACGGCUUACCCGUGGAACUGCCCGGCAGACUGCGAUGCUCGAGUGUGGUAGGGGAGAGCGGAACUCCUGGUGGAGCGGUGAAAUGCGUAGAUAUCAGGAGGAACACCGGUGGCGAAGGCGGCUCUCUGGUCCACAACUGACGCUGAGGUGCGAAAGCUAGGGGAGCAAACGGG
rnacentral:rRNA from 1 species